UACGAAGGGGGCUAGCGUUGUUCGGAAUCACUGGGCGUAAAGCGCACGUAGGCGGAUCUUUAAGUCAGAGGUGAAAUCCCAAGGCUCAACCUUGGAACUGCCUUUGAUACUGGGGAUCUUGAGUCCGGGAGAGGUGAGUGGAACUGCGAGUGUAGAGGUGAAAUUCGUAGAUAUUCGCAAGAACACCAGUGGCGAAGGCGGCUCACUGGCCGGUACUGACGCUGAGGUGCGAAAGCGUGGGGAGCAAACAGG
rnacentral:rRNA from 1 species